ACUCAACCAACUGAACCACCUAGGUGCCCCUGGUUUUCUGCAUUUUUAAAAGAAGGUUAUGGUUAUAGUCAUUUGAUUUGUUUCUAAAACUGUGUAAAAGUACUGCCAUUGGAUUUAAAAUACAAUAUUCUCUAGAAAUGAAUUAAAUGUAUGGAAUCCCAAAUUGAUAAAUGCAAAUGCGAUCUCAUUAGUUUGUUGUUGUUGUUGGUGGUGGUGGUGGUGGUGGGUUUUUUUGUCCUUUUAGUUUCGGGAUAAAAUAAACGAAGCUUUACGUUAGUGCUGGCUUGGUGACAUAUAUAUACUUAAUUAGCAAAAACCAACACAUCAGUCAGUUUAGAAAAUUUUUGAAUUAGAUAACUGUAUAAAUGAUUAUAAACUUGAUGCUUUAAUAUUUUGAUUCAAUAUAUAUACCCUUAGAAUACUUUUAUGAUAAUUGUGUGUGAUAUAAAGACAUUUGCAAAUGUACCAUCUUUUAGGUGUGAUGUGUAUAUACAAAAUGAGGAUCAUGAUACUCAUUUUUGCUAUGGACUUAUGGCUUUUUUCAUAUUGUAAAAAUAUUUCAUAAUGCAGCAAUAUGUACCCCAAAUAGCUUUAUAAAUGAACUAGCUGUAUUUUUUAAUUAUUAUUUUAAUUCCAGGUUUGAAACUAAAAACUGUCCUGAUUUUAGGAAAAUGAAAGCUUGCAUGAUA